GACAGAGGUGCCGAGCGUUAGGCGGAAUCACUGGGCUUAAAGCGUGUGUAGGCGGAUUUGUAAGUACCUUGUGAAAUCCCACGGCUCAACCGUGGAACUGCUCGGUAUACUGCUUAUCUUGAGCCACUUAGGGGCAGUCGGAACAGAUGGUGGAGCGGUGAAAUGCGUAGAUAUCGGGCGGAACACCAGCGGCGAAGGCGGCAUCCUGGCCCUGUCCUGACGCUGAGGCGCGAGAGCGUGGGGAGCAAACCGG
rnacentral:rRNA from 1 species